rnacentral:lncRNA from 1 species
AGGCUCUUGGACGGCGAAGCUGGGCAUGGUGGUGGGCAACUGUAAUCCCAGCUACUCAGGAGGCUGAGGCAGGAGAAUUGCUUGAACCUGGGAGGCAGAGGUUGCAGUGAGCUGAGAUCACGCCAUUGCACUCUAGCCCAGGCAACAGAAGUGAAACUCUGCCUAAAAAAAAAAGAAAAGAAAAGAAAGAAAGAAAGGUGGCCCCGUUAAUGUUUAUGCCAAGACAGCCGGCAUGACCUGGAAGUGUCCCAAGCCACAGGGCAUCUUGUUUCCGGGGAGGAUGAAUGAAUCAAAUCGCACCUAUUUUGAGGCAAGCAAGGACUCUGUGACUUCAGGAGCCCUGGUGGGUGGACAGAAGCUCCCUGCUCCCCCAGCCUGUCUACCCAGCAGCGCUUUGGCCAGUCCCAUUCCUGUACUUCUGAGCCUGCCUGUCAGUCCCUCCUCACACGCACACCGUGGCUUUGUGCCUGGUACUGAGUGUCCCGGAGCCCCAAACCACAGGGUCAACCCCAUGAAAGAAACCGGGACUCUGCUCUCAUCCACUCGCCCCCACCCCCCGCGUAAUCCCCUGGUGCUCACACAGCCCCACCGUAAAGUUUUUGUAGCUCCCUGGCAGACUUGUGCUCCUGUUUGCCAGAUCAAAGCCCAGUGACCUGAGCGGCCUGUCCCCAGCAGAGGCCACUAGUCCCUGUGGACCCACCCCAUUGGGAAAGGCAUGGGUUGAACUUUAACCAUUAGGCUCAGGGAUUGGGAUGAGUUUCUACAAAAAGAGGUGGGUACACGCCAGUCCACAGUGGUCCUGAUCAAAGUGAGAACAGACAGCAGGGAACAUCACCCUCUUCAGAUUGGAGUCAGUGGGAACAGACCUAAGAUGUUGGGGAAGAACACUUGGAAGACCUCAGCUUUCUCCUGGGUUGAGCAGAUGUGGGCCCCUCUCUGGAGUCGUUCGAUGAGGCCAGGGUGAUGGUGUUCUCAGCGUUCCUGUGCGCGGCGAACCAGCAGUAACACUUGUAAGUAGAGCCUCAAAUUUCCCAAAUGCAACUGGAUCCUUGUCUUAGCUGAUGGGGUCUUUCAAGAUGAGAGAGUAGAGACCAUCCCGAGCCACACGGGUUCAGAUUUCCACUCUG